UCGGAGUGGUUCCUGUGCAGCCUUACUGCUAAAGCGUGGAAAGCCGUUCCGGGUUGAUCUUCACCGAUUGCAGCACGCAACCUGCUCGAAAUUUCUGCUCUUCUCGGAAGCGACUGAAGAGAUGGUGUUGAAAACAAACACUCAAACCGCUUGGAUAAGUGAAGAAAAACAAGUUAGAAAAUCAAGGCAUGGGUGGACUACUGUUAUCACCUGAGAACAUGAUGGAAAUCCUGUACUUAAUUGCCUUCAAGCCCUAUGUAGUAAACAUGGUUGUUAAUUUUUAUUAUUAAUAGCACACUUUACAAAAAUAAAAAAAAGUCACAAGAUACUUGUAAUACUUUU
rnacentral:lncRNA from 1 species